CGCAUGCAUAUAGAAAUAAUACAAUAAAAUACUAAUUAGCUGCUAUGAAUAAAUGCAAUGCGUCUUAAACCUUGUCUAUUAUGAAAAUGCACGUAAGUUUAACCGUGCCUUCUAAAUCGUGACAAGGUAGUACUAUAUGUUACGAAAAAGUAGAAUAAUUAAGUAGACCCUAUGGCGCGGCGGCCGCGCACUACUUGCUAGUAGCAUCUAUGCGUGCAUUGCAAGAG
rnacentral:lncRNA from 1 species